UCGAGUCGGACAGAGACAGCGCGAAAACAUCAACACCACCCGCCUCAGAGCCGCACAUCAGACGAGGUUCCGAACAAUUUUCAACGCCUUAGCGAACUCAGUUUGAUUUGUGUAAUCUAAUCGGAUACUAGAACUUUUCGGUUCUUCAAUAGCUUCGCUUCGCGUUUCGAGUACGUUUUCGAAAUUGUUUCGUAAGUUUGAUUAUUGUGGUUCGAUUUAUAGUUGAGGCGGUUUUAUUUGAUUCGUUCAAGCGGUCUAGGUCUCUAGGACUCCGGUUUCCGGUAGAAGAAAGUCAAUUUGUUAAAAAGACGUUAAGGUGUACAACAGUUGGAAUCAUUGUCCAACGUUGAGCUGGAAGGCGAACGAGUAUUCCUCCGAAGAAAAGUCCGAAGUGUUGACCCAAGAGGAUUCCUGAAGUGGAUGUUGGUGGGAAGGCGAAGAAAAAGGAAAGUGCAUCGUCGUCGUCGUCAACACCGCGUGGUGGGUGUGAAAGCAUAGUGAGAGUGCACCUUGUGCGUGUUGUUCAGUGCAUCUGUUGUUUGGCCAAGUGCAAUCGAGGCGAUAGUGCUGCAUCAAAAAGUGUCUCCAUCGGUAGCCGGAGGUUCUAAGCUUCUACGCGGAUCUAAUUGCUUGCUUUCAAGGUAGAGAAGAAGAGGAAAAAUCAAGAGAAAUAAAAGUGGCUGUGUCAAACGAAGCAAGUGCCGUGAGUCGUGAUAGUCCUGAAUUAGUUGUGGGCCUUGGAUAAGUGCCGAGCGUGACGCAGGACAGCCGGUAGACAGUCGGACAGACAGGCGGACAGCAGCAGGCAGGAAACACAUCCCACGAUGAGCGCUCAAGAACGACGAGCCUCUUUCGCCAGGCGGGCGGAAAGCUUGAUCGAGAGGGUGAGAAUACUGAAAACGAUUUAUGAGGUAUCACGUGACCAACGGUGAGAUUCUACGGCAGUGAGAGUGGUUUCUUUUUUAUGCGACUUUACCUGCUAUACCUGCAACUGUCCUUCGCAAAGUAGUGGAAGAUACACGCUCUUGUUCUUGUUCUCGGCAUGUGCUUCUUCCAAUGUUCAAAGUAGUCAACAAGUCACGUCAGUCUAUAAUUUACAUCAAGUCACUUUACACCUAUCCCAAUUCGAGAGCGGCUAGUUUCAAUUUACCCACGAAUAACACAUAGUAUCUUCCCUCUUAGUAGUUGCAGAAGUAAAGUUCAAUUCAACUGACCACUGCGACGUCGGUCCAGCCCUUUGCCCACUUUUGUUUAUUUAUUCACACAUUCUAUCAGUCUGUAGAUAGUUUCAUUUUCCUUAUUUUAUCCGACGGCGAUCACCGACAGGCCGAAUAAAUAUUUGGACAUGUUGGCCUCCAUCGAAGCUGACGAAACCUACGACACCCGUUUGUUAUUCCCCCUUGGUUGGCGUGUGUACCUUAUAAAGUUGUGCCUAAUCGUUUACAAUGCUUGAAUAAUCCUUUAGUAUUAAGUUUUAAGGAGUAAUGUGAUGCAUGAAAAUCAUGACAGUAUGUAUGCCUUUUUUAUAAAAUUUAUGUAAUGACAUAUUUUUUACAGUUUUCUUCCGAAAUAAUGGUAAUUAGCUUGACGAAUUUCUCUCGUGUACCUCAAUAAUUGAUUUGAAUAGGACACAUCGGUGAAGUACUAGAUUUGUAGUAAUGAGCUGAAUUUUAGUAGGUGAGAAGGUCAAUUCUCAGUUUCUGCAAUGAAAUGGUGCAAAAAGGGUGGGUAAAUCUCGUGUGCGUGUCUGCUCUGUUCGGUUCGGUUCUGAAUAUGAUGCAUGUUUUUUGAUAAACUACGUUGUUAACUUUGCAUUAUUAAAUCCGUUUUACGUCGUUCCUGUUACGUUGUGUGAAGUUUUUACACAUAGCAUACGAAUCAGAUCAUAAAAGUGUCUUGAAGCCUUAGUUGUUAGUGCUAAUAACACCUCCCACCAACGAACUAUCAAUCCACUCAGUUGUCGUCGCCAUCCUUUGUUCUUCGCAGUGUGGUUUCUGGUGUGCAGUUGAUAAUCGAAACUUAUAGGGUGCGUCAAAUUGCACGAGAAUGGAUCAUUGUUACGCGUGCAAGGUAGAAUUUCGUGUGGAGGAUAUCGUAGUGUCAUGUGACGUAUUCUGCGAAGAUCGACACCGAUUCCAUGCAAGAUGCGUUGGAUUGACAUAUGAUGAGGGUUGCGCAUGCUUAAAUAGCAAUAUUUUAUGGGUGUGUGAUUCUUGUAAGCACUCGAUCGAAUACGGACGCUAUAGAAGACCUCAACCUGAAUUGCAAGCAGGCGAAUUAGCAACGAAAAAUGACGUAAGUUGUUUGAAGACUGAGGUAGAACGUAUCAGCAAGAUCGUAUCUCAGUUGACACUGAAUGUUUCACUAUCGGCGGCAUCUGAUGAAUACGUGCCACAUCCUAAUGCUACGAGUACAGCAGUUUCGACUUCUUCGCCACUA